AUGGCGACCGGCGCACGGGUGAGUAACACGUAUCCAACCUGCCGAUAACUCGGGGAUAGCCUUUCGAAAGAAAGAUUAAUACCCGAUGGUAUAAUCAGACCGCAUGGUCUUGUUAUUAAAGAAUUUCGGUUAUCGAUGGGGAUGCGCUCCAUUAGGCAGUUGGUGAGGUAACGGCUCACCAAACCUUCGAUGGAUAGGGGUUCUGAGAGGAAGGUCCCCCACAUUGGAACUGAGACACGGUCCAA
rnacentral:rRNA from 1 species